rnacentral:rRNA from 1 species
GACGAACGCUGGCGGCGUGCCUAAUACAUGCAAGUUGAGCGCUGAAGGUUGGUACUUGUACCAACUGGAUGAGCAGCGAACGGGUGAGUAACGCGUGGGGAAUCUGCCUUUGAGCGGGGGACAACAUUUGGAAACGAAUGCUAAUACCGCAUAAAAACUUUAAACACAAGUUUUAAGUUUGAAAGAUGCAAUUGCAUCACUCAAAGAUGAUCCCGCGUUGUAUUAGCUAGUUGGUGAAGUAAAGGCUCACCAAGGCGAUGAUACAUAGCCGACCUGAGAGGGUGAUCGGCCACAUUGGGACUGAGACACGGCCCAAACUCCUACGGGAGGCAGCAGUAGGGAAUCUUCGGCAAUGGACGAAAGUCUGACCGAGCAACGCCGCGUGAGUGAAGAAGGGUUUCGGAUCGUAAAACUCGGUUGGUAGAGAAGAACGUUGGUGAGAGUGGAAAGCUCAUCAAGUGACGGUAACUACCCAGAAAGGGACGGCUAACUACGUG